UCCCUGAUAGCUCAGCUGGUAGAGAAUCUGCCUGCAAUGCGGGAGACCUGGGUUCGAUCCCUGGGUUGGGAA
rnacentral:tRNA from 1 species